rnacentral:rRNA from 1 species
UACGUAGGUGGCAAGCGUUGUCCGGAUUUAUUGGGUUUAAAGGGCGCGUAGGCGGGCUGUCAAGUCUGGGGUGAAAUCCCGCGGCUCAACCGUGGAACUGCCUCAGAUACUGACGGCCUCGAGGGGGAUAGGGGCGAGCGGAACGGAUGGUGGAGCGGUGAAAUGCGUUGAUAUCAUCCGGAACCCCAGAGGCGAAGGCGGCGCUCUGGCUCGCAACUGACGCUCAGACACGACAGCAUGGGGAGCGAACGGG